rnacentral:tRNA from 1 species
GGGGUUGUAGCUCAGUCGGCUAGAGCGCAGCAUUCACAUUGCUGAGGUCGGGGGUUCAAGUCCCUCCAGCCCCA